AACAUAACCUUUAGCCAAACAAAUAUUAAAGGCAACACCUGCCCAGUGAACAAAUUAAACGGCCGCGGUACCCUAACCGUGCAAAGGUAGCGUAAUCACUUGUCUAUUAAUUGUAGACCAGUACGAACGGCAACAUGAGAGCCCAACUGUCUCUUGUAAUCAAUCAAUUAAACUGAUCUCCCAGUACAAAAGCUGGGAUACACAUAUAAGACCAGAAGACCCUGUGAAGCUUUAACUAAACCUCUAACCCAUAUAGAGACUAAUUUAGGUUGGGGCGACCUCGGAAUAAAAAUAAACUUCCGAACUAAAUUGAGCUUUACCUCACUUACACAGGCCCACAAGCCACAACACGACCCAGUAUAACUGAUAACUGAACCAAGUUACUCCAGGGAUAACAGCGCUAUCUUCUUCAAGAGCCCAUAUCAAAAAGAAGGUUUACGACCUCGAUGUUGGAUCAGGACACCCAGAUGGUGCAACCGCUAUCAAAGGUUCGUUUGUUCAACGAUUAAUAGUCCUACGUGAU
rnacentral:rRNA from 1 species